rnacentral:tRNA from 2 species
GGGGGUGUAGCUCAGUUGGCUAGAGCGCAUCGUUCGCAACGAUGAGGUCGUGGGUUCGAUUCCCAUCACCUCCACCA